GACGAUCCCUCUGCUUUCCCAGCGAGAAAUGAUGAUCAGCGCGCAGCGGCAGGUAGGAGGCCCGCUGCCCGGGCCCGCAGCAGCUCUGCCCCGCUGUGAGCCGUGAGCAUGUCCCCGCUCUGGCUCCCUGGUCCCCGCAACACUGAUCACUGUCCACCACCAACAUGUACUUCAACCGGAGAGGCAAGAAGAUACACAGCGAGGGAGAGCAGUUAGUGUUGACCACGCUUAGACAGGAGGCUUCUGAACUGCAGGACCCAAGCCGGGGUACCAGUGCUACCAUGCGUUCCCGCCUCGCAGACAGGUUUGACAAAAGACCCUCCUGCUCGUCCGCCGGCUACCGCAAGGCAGACGAUGAGAUGUCCGGCACCACGUCCCAGGCGGAGCCCGUAGACGCCACGGCCCGGACGGUGCUGCUCAACCGGCCCCAGAACACCAAGUUCUGCGACAACCAUGUCAGUACCACCAAGUAUGGGAUUCUCACCUUUCUGCCCCGGUUCCUGUACGAGCAGAUCAGACGGGCAGCUAAUGCGUUCUUCCUGUUCAUCGCACUCAUGCAGCAAAUCCCUGAUGUAUCACCGACCGGUCGUUACACCACACUGGUUCCACUCAUAUUUAUCCUUACUGUGGCUGGGAUUAAAGAGAUCAUAGAGGACUACAAACGGCACAAAGCAGACAACACAGUAAACAAGAAGAAGACAACAGUGCUGCGGAACGGAGCUUGGCAGACGAUCAUCUGGAAACAGGUGGCAGUAGGUGACAUAGUGAAGGUGACCAAUGGCCAGCACCUUCCAGCUGACAUGGUUAUAGUGUCGUCCAGUGAACCACAAGCCAUGUGCUACACCGAGACGUCAAAUUUGGAUGGAGAAACCAACCUGAAGAUCAGACAGGGUCUUUCCCUCACAGCUACAGUUCAAACCUUGGAGGAUUUAAUGGCUCUGUCUGGUCGUUUAGAGUGUGAAGGCCCCAACAGACACUUGUACGACUUCACUGGCACUCUGCGGCUGGAAAACCUAAAUCCAGUCCCACUAGGUCCAGACCAGGUGCUGCUUCGUGGAGCUCAGCUCAGGAACACACAGUGGGUCGUGGGAAUCGUUGUCUACACUGGCCAUGACUCUAAACUAAUGCAGAACUCCACCAAGGCACCGCUGAAGCGCUCUAAUGUGGAGCGGGUGACCAACAUGCAGAUCCUGGUCCUGUUUUGCAUCCUGCUGGUCAUGGCACUGGUCAGCUCUGUGGGCGCAGCCAUCUGGAACAAGGAACACACAGACGAAGCCUGUUGGUACCUGUCCCGAGCCGAUGACAUCUCUACCAAUUUUGCAUAUAACCUGCUGACGUUCAUCAUCCUCUACAACAACCUGAUCCCCAUCAGCCUGCUGGUUACUCUGGAGGUGGUAAAGUUCACACAGGCCCUUUUCAUCAACUGGGAUGUGGAGAUGUACUAUGCAGAGACAGACACACCUGCCAUGGCUCGAACAUCCAAUCUUAAUGAAGAACUUGGCCAGGUGAAAUAUCUCUUUUCUGACAAGACGGGAACUCUGACCUGUAACGUCAUGCACUUUAAGAAGUGCACCAUCGCGGGAAUCACAUAUGGCCACUUCCCUGAUCUUGAGUGUGAUCGUUCAAUGGAGGACUUCAGCAGUCUGCGGUCCAACAGCAAUAACUCUACAGAGUUUGAAGACCCAAGUCUCAUUAAAAACAUUGAGAAGAACCAUCCUACAUCCCCCCAGAUCUGUGAGUUCCUGACCAUGAUGGCAGUGUGCCACACGGUGGUCCCAGAGAGGGAGGAUAACCACAUCGUCUACCAAGCAUCCUCACCGGAUGAGGGAGCGCUUGUCAAAGGUGCCAAAGGACUGGGAUUUGUUUUCACUGCUAGGACCCCCCAUUCAGUCAUCAUUGAUGCUAGAGGAAAAGAGAUGAGCUAUGAGCUACUCAAUGUGCUGGAGUUUUCCAGUAACCGCAAACGCAUGUCUGUGGUGGUCAGGAUGUCCAGUGGGAAGCUGCGGCUGUACUGCAAAGGAGCUGAUAAUGUUAUUUUCGAACGCUUGAAUGAAGCAUCUCAGUAUAAGGAAUUAACUAUUGCUCAUCUGGAACAGUUUGCUACUGAAGGUUUGAGGACACUGUGUUUUGCGUAUGUGGACCUGGAAGAAGGCGAAUAUCAGGAAUGGUUGAAGGAAUACAAUCAUGCCAGCACUGUACUCAAAGACCGUAGUCAGAAACUGGAAGAGUGUUAUGAACAUCUGGAGAAGAACUUGCUGCUGUUGGGUGCCACAGCUAUAGAGGACCGUCUCCAGGCCGGCGUUCCAGAAACCAUCGCCACGCUGAUGAGGGCUGACAUCAAGAUUUGGGUCCUCACCGGAGACAAACAAGAGACUGCCAUCAAUAUAGGUUACUCCUGUCGUCUGGUGACACAUGGCAUGUCCCUCAUCAUUGUGAACGAAGACUCUCUCGAUGCUACUCGUGCCACACUCACAGGCCACUGCUCAUCCCUGGGUGACUCUCUGAGGAAAGAAAAUGAGCUUGCGCUCAUCAUCGAUGGCCAAACACUGAAAUAUGCCCUGUCCUUUGAGCUGCGGCAGGCCUUCCUCGACUUGGCAUUGUCCUGCAAAGCUGUGAUCUGCUGCCGAGUGUCUCCACUACAAAAGUCAGAGAUCGUGGAUAUGGUAAAGAAACAUGUGAAAGCCAUCACCCUGGCGAUAGGUGACGGCGCAAAUGACGUGGGGAUGAUUCAGACGGCUCAUGUUGGAGUGGGAAUCAGCGGCAACGAGGGAAUGCAGGCAACCAAUUCUUCUGACUACUCCAUUGCACAGUUCUCCUACCUUGAGAAGCUUCUGCUGGUCCACGGCGCAUGGAGCUACAACCGUGUCACAAAGUGCAUCCUCUACUGUUUCUAUAAGAAUGUGGUUCUAUACAUAAUAGAGCUAUGGUUUGCCUUUGUGAACGGGUUCUCCGGCCAGAUCCUUUUUGAACGUUGGUGUAUAGGCCUUUACAAUGUGAUUUUUACCGCACUGCCUCCCUUCACCCUGGGGAUUUUUGACCGGCCAUGCAGCCAGCAGAACAUGCUCCGCUUCCCACAGCUCUAUCGAAUAACCCAAAACGCUGAGGGAUUCAACACCAAGGUGUUUUGGGGACAUUGUAUCAAUGCACUGAUUCAUUCAAUUAUUCUCUUCUGGUUACCACUCAAAAUGUUAGACCACACCUCUCCCUUCAGUAACGGCCAGGGAAGUGACUACCUGUUUACAGGAAACAUGGUGUACACAUAUGUGGUGGUUACUGUUUGUUUGAAAGCCGGGAUGGAGACCACCGCUUGGACCAGGUUUUCACACCUGGCAGUGUGGGGAAGCAUGGCGCUAUGGAUGGUGUUCUUUGUCGUCUACUCUGCCAUCUGGCCCUCCAUCCCCAUCGCCCCCGACAUGCUGGGCCAGGCUGGCAGGGUGAUGCAGUGCUGGCACUUCUGGCUUGGCUUGGUCCUGGUGCCUACUGCGUGUUUGCUCAAAGAUUUUGCUUGGACAGCCGCACGUCGCAGUGUGAGGAAGUCUUUACUGGAGGAGGUGCAGGAGUUGGAGGCACGCGCCGUUGACCCAGGGGCGGCAGUACUUAGAGACGCCAGCGGUUGCAGGUGGACCAAUUUGAACUGCUGUACAGACCUGUCUAAACGAACGGGCCCAUCUGCUGACAAGAGUCUUUAAGAAAACACCUUCAAGUGCAGGACGAUCAAACUCUGUGCAGCAGACUGUGUCGCAUGGCUAUGCCUUCUCUCAGGAGGAGCACGGUGUGGUGUCCCAGUCCCAAGUAGUUCGCUCAUAUGACACGACCCGCGAAAGACCCAGCCUCUAGCCCCGCCCCUGCCAAGGCUUUGGCUCACCGUAGCAAUGGUUGUCAUGGUGACAGCAGAAACAGACUGAAGUGCACCCUGAUGCUGGGUGACCGACCACUGCUGUGGCCUUACUGGAACAAUGACCAGAUCCCACGGCGGGGUGAGGAAGGUGGUGGGUCACGGUCGGGCGUGAAGGCCGUCGCCGGUGCAUGGAGGACUGAAUUAGGAGAAGGGACCAGGCAAAAUACGCAACAAACGUCGGGACUCACAAAAACUGCAUAGGCAUGAGCAAUCAUAUCCACAUCCAGACAUGCCAAGUCAAGCUCAGAGACUGCUACUCGUAUAUGUAGAGCCCUCAGACCGGGUUGCUUAACGCCACUGUGUGUUAGCGCGUGUGUGUGCGUGUUCCUGUGUGUCUGUAUCUGCCUAUGCAUGUACGUCUGCACGCAUUGGUGCUCUGGUGUUUGUGUGCAUGUGUGUGUCUGUUCAUGUGUGUUUUCCUCCAAGGUUACCUCUCACCUCCCUCUCCCGAGGAGGUUUCAGCUCGUCUGUCAUCACUUACCGACGCAGAAGAUGUCAAAAUAAACAUGCGCACACACACUUGCACACAUCCGGGCGCAAGUUGAAUUCCUUUAAGAAAAAAUAGAAAUGUUGGGAGGGAAGCGUUGGUAGAGGAUUUGCCGGAGCCCUGCAACCACAGCUACAGGCCCCCUUUGUUCCAUCGCAGCGCCGAGCCUCACUGCCAAACACAGAUGCCGCUGAGGCAGAACGCUCACCCCAAACCGGACCACCACCCUGCUGCAACCCCUCCUACCCCGCUGAGACCUCCUAUCGCUUAUCUCUCCCUUAUCUCUGGAUCUCAUAGCAGCUCUGCAGGCCACGUCUCCUUUCUCCAUGCAGUUUUAAUUAUUUUUCUCUCUUUUUCUUUCCUUUUCUGUUCUUUUCUGUUUACGUGAUUCCUGAAGCUGCCAUCUAGCAUCGCCAGCUGAUGUAAAAGCAGCACGCCCGGCAUUAACACUUCCACCUCCCAGUUCUGUUGGAAUUCAUCUUUAUUGGACUAUUUCCUUUUUUUUUUUUUUUUUAUUACUACCAUGAUUAAAGUGGACAUUAAUGUAUAUGUGUGUUUUAAUAUUAUUUUCUUUUAUUCAGUGUCUGUUUUUGUACUUAUUUGUGGAGAUGUGUUUUAGAGGGAAUAUUUUACUUGAACAACUACUUACAGGCAUCCAAACUGAGAGGAAUUGAUGGAGACGCCCGCAUAGAUCAUGUGUUUUUCUGUCUCUAGCAUUUGUCUGAAUGAAGGGUGUGUGUGUGUGUGUGUGUGUGUGUGUGUGUGUGUGUGUGUGUGUGUGUGUGUGUGUGUGUGUGUGUGUGUGUGUGUGUGUGUGUGUGUGUGUGUGUGUGUGUGUGUGUGUGUGUGUGUGUGUGUGUGUGGAAGACACUCGUUCAGGAAUGCAAGUCUGAAAGAUUGAGGGGGGGGGUUGUCCAUCCAAGUCCUAAUCAUUAAAUCUAAUCAAUCCAUG